UGCUAGGCCGGGUGUGUAUGCGCAGCGAUGCGUUGAGCUAACCGGUACUAAUGAACCGUGAGGCUUAACCUUACAACGCCGAAG
rnacentral:rRNA from 1 species